rnacentral:misc_RNA from 1 species
GAAAUGCGAUAAGUAAUGUGAAUUGCAGAAUUCAGUGAAUCUUCGAAUCUUUGAACGCACCUUGCGCUCCUUGGUAUUCCUUGGAGCAUGCCUGUUUGAGUAUCAUGAAAUCUUCAAAGUAAAUCUUUUGUUAACUCAAUUGGUUUCUACUUUGGUAUUGGAGGUCUUUGCAGCUUCACACCUGCUCCUCUUUGUUCAUUAGCUGGAUCUCAGUGUUAUGCUUGGUUCCACUCGGCGUGAUAAGUUAUCUAUCGCUGAGGACACUGUAAAAGGUGGCCAAGGUAAAUGCAGAUGAACCGCUUCUAAUAGUCCAUUGACUUGGACAAUACUUUUAUGAUCUGAUCUCAAAUCAGGUAGGACUACCCGCUGAACUUAAGC